GAUGAACGCUGGCGGCGUGCCUAAUACAUGCAAGUCGAGCGAACAGAUGAGGAGCUUGCUCCUCUGACGUUAGCGGCGGACGGGUGAGUAACACGUGGAUAACCUACCUAUAAGACUGGGAUAACUUCGGGAAACCGGAGCUAAUACCGGAUAAUAUAUUGAACCGCAUGGUUCAAUAGUGAAAGACGGUUUUGCUGUCACUUAUAGAUGGAUCCGCGCCGCAUUAGCUAGUUGGUAAGGUAACGGCUUACCAAGGCAACGAUGCGUAGCCGACCUGAGAGGGUGAUCGGCCACACUGGAACUUAGACACGGGCCAGACUCCUACGGGAGGCAACAGUAGGGAAUCUUCCGCAAUGGGCGAAAGCCUGACGGAGCAACGCCGCGUGAGUGAUGAAGGUCUUCGGAUCGUAAAACUCUGUUAUUAGGGAAGAACAAAUGUGUAAGUAACUAUGCACGUCUUGACGGUACCUAAUCAGAAAGCCACGGCUAACUACGUG
rnacentral:rRNA from 1 species